UACGUAGGGCGCAAGCGUUAUCCGGAAUUAUUGGGCGUAAAGAGCUCGUAGGCGGUUUGUCGCGUCUGCCGUGAAAUUCCAGGGCUUAACCCUGGGCUUGCAGUGGGUACGGGCAGACUAGAGUGUGGUAGGGGAGACUGGAAUUCCUGGUGUAGCGGUGAAAUGCGCAGAUAUCAGGAGGAACACCGGUGGCGAAGGCGGGUCUCUGGGCCGUAACUGACGCUGAGGAGCGAAAGCGUGGGGAGCGAACAGG
rnacentral:rRNA from 1 species